UAACAUCAUCUUGUUAUUUCAUUGUAACAGAUAUGGGCCGUUGAGAGAGUACCAGCUCUCCAACAAUGUAUAAUUUCAUACGUUCCCUUCCAAUUUUCACGAAUCAUAUAAUAUCGGGGAUGGAAGCUUCCGAGGUAUAAGAAGAUUCAUGAAAUUAUAGAGAGUAAAGAUGCUGAGAUCAUUGUUAACUUAGAGCCGACCACAGAGGAGUUGGAGACGGAGUUUGUUCGUUUGGCCCGUGAUAUAUUUGAUAGCACUAAAGAUGAAGAUGAUGAAGAUAUGGAGGAGAAAUCGGGACAGGGAGAGGGGGAAGAGGGUGGAGAGGGAGAAGAAGGGGGAGAGGAAGACAGUAUUGGUGAUGGAGAGG